UACGAAGGGGGCUAGCGUUACUCGGAAUGACUGGGCGUAAAGGGCGCGUAGGCGGUUUGCUUAGUUAGGCGUGAAAUUCCUGGGCUCAACCUGGGGGCUGCGCUUAAUACAGGCAGACUAGAGUGUGAAAGAGGGUCGUGGAAUUCCCAGUGUAGAGGUGAAAUUCGUAGAUAUUGGAAAGAACACCGGUGGCGAAGGCGGCGACCUGGUUCAUUACUGACGCUGAGGCGCGAAAGCGUGGGGAGCAAACAGG
rnacentral:rRNA from 1 species